CAUUUGUCAUCAUUGAGCUUCAGUCCAGCAUUGGAAAGGAUUUUCAGGAUUCUCUGCAUGCUGGAAAUACUGAAGGGAAGCCUAUGGAAGAAAUACCUCCCAAACGGUGUGAUAAAUUGCAGCACAACCAAUGCUGGGUUUUCAAGUCGGUUACUCCUGAAAGAUGGUGCAGUUCCCACUUUGUUGGGACAGUCUGGCGCUUCAGCAUCACAACCUGUAAGUAUGUUUGAUUAUUUGUGGAUUUAUCUGCUACUGAGAGUUCAAAUGCAGAGUUUUGUGUUGUAGCUACGGUAUACACCCAGUGCACAGCUAUAGGCCUCUGCUAACAUGCUAG